UACAGAGGUCUCAAGCGUUGUUCGGAUUCAUUGGGCGUAAAGGGUGCGUAGGCGGCGCGGUAAGUCGGGUGUGAAAUCUCGGGGCUUAACUCCGAAACUGCAUUCGAUACUGCCGUGCUUUGAGGACUGGAGAGGAGACUGGAAUUUACGGUGUAGCGGUGAAAUGCGUAGAUAUCGUAAGGAAGACCAGUGGCGAAGGCGGGUCUCUGGACAGUUCCUGACGCUGAGGCACGAAGGCCAGGGGGAGCAAAACGGG
rnacentral:rRNA from 1 species